rnacentral:rRNA from 1 species
UACGGGGGGGGCAAGCGUUGUUCGGAAUUACUGGGCGUAAAGGGCGCGUAGGCGGUUCGCUAAGUUGGAUGUGAAAACUCUGGGCUUAACCCAGAGCCUGCAUCCAAAACUGGCAGACUAGAGUUUUGGAGGGGGAAGCGGAAUUCCUGGUGUAGCAGUGAAAUGCGUAGAUAUCAGGAGGAACACCGGUGGCGAAGGCGGCUUCCUGGACAAAAACUGACGCUGAGGCGCGAAAGCUAGGGGAGCAAACAGG